GACGAACGCUGGCGGCGUGCCUAAUACAUGCAAGUUGAGCGAUGAAGAUUGGUGCUUGCACCAAUUUGCAGAGCAGCGAACGGGUGAGUAACGCGUGGGGAAUCUGCCUUUGAGCGGGGGACAACAUUUGGAAACGAAUGCUAAUACCGCAUAACAACUUUAAACAUAAGUUUUAAGUUUGAAAGAUGCAAUUGCAUCACUCAAAGAUGAUCCCGCGUUGUAUUAGCUAGUUGGUGAGGUAAAGGCUCACCAAGGCGAUGAUACAUAGCCGACCUGAGAGGGUGGUCGGCCCCCUUGGGACUGGGACCCGGCCCAAACUCCUACGGGAGGCAGCAGUAGGGGAUCUUCGGCAAUGGACGAAAGUCUGACCGAGCCACGCCGCGUGAGUGAAGAAGGUUUUCGGGUCGUAAAACUCUGUUGGUAGAGAAGAACGUUGGUGAGAGUGGAAAGCUCAUCAAGUGACGGUAACUACCCAGAAAGGGACGGCUAACUACGUG
rnacentral:rRNA from 1 species